AUUGAACGCUGGCGGCAGGCUUAACACAUGCAAGUCGAGCGAGCGGCGGACGGGUGAGUAAUGUCUGGGAAACUGCCUGAUGGAGGGGGAUAACUACUGGAAACGGUAGCUAAUACCGCAUACCCUCAGAUGUGCCCAGAGGGGAUUAGCUAGUAGGUGGGGUAAUGGCUCACCUAGGCGACGAUCCCUAGCUGGUCUGAGAGGAUGACCAGCCACACUGGAACCGAGAAACGGUCCAGACUCCUACGGGAGGCAGCAGGGGGGAAUAUUGCAAAAUGGGGGGCAGCCUGAUGGAGCCAAGCCGCGUGUGUGAAGAAGGCCUUCGGGUUGUAAAGGACUUUCCGCGAAGAGGAGUUACUCGCAGAAGAAGCAACGGCUAACUCCGUGCCAGCAGCCGCGGUAAUUC
rnacentral:rRNA from 1 species